rnacentral:sRNA from 1 species
UUCGCAGCCCCAGAGACUGAAUACAGAGGACAGAUACAACACAGAAAGCAGCAGUGCAAGCUUCCCACAGACUGCCCCAUGAGGGCCCCACUGGAGCUGAGCUAGAGGACCAGGGGACAGAUUGGUCUCCCUGCCUUGGGAAUGCCCAGAAAGC